rnacentral:rRNA from 1 species
UACGUAGGGCGCAAGCGUUGUCCGGAAUUAUUGGGCGUAAAGAGCUCGUAGGCGGCUUGUCGCGUCGGCUGUGAAAACCCGCGGCUCAACUGUGGGCGGGCAGCUGAUACGGGCAGGCUGGAGUUCGGUAGGGGAGACUGGAAUUCCUGGUGUAGCGGUGAAAUGCGCAGAUAUCAGGAGGAACACCCGUGGCGAAAGCGGCUCUCUGGGACGGUACUGACGCUGAGACGCGAAAGCGUGGGGAGCAAACAGG